rnacentral:lncRNA from 1 species
AAGCACGAGGAGUAAAACGUCAUCAUCCUGAAUCUGAAGCUUUCAACAAUCCAGGCAUUGGUAAGUAGCAAAACCCUUUCCGCACAAUACAAAUCUGGUUUGUAUAAUUAUAGCUAUUCUCUUGUCAUCUCUGAUCUUACUUGUUUCUUGAUUUUUCUUCUCUUGUCGUUAAGGUGAUGGGACACUAACAACGGCUCAAAACCAAAAUGAUCUCCAAUGGCAAGGACAACGACAAGGUCCCUGAAAGAGAUGAGCAGCAUCAGAGCGAAGAAACAAAAGAAAUUUUGCAAACAGUAGUGGAUUCUUUUGUUCCCUCUAUUUCUGUUAUGGUUUUUUAUUUUUUUUUAAUACAGAAACUGAAACCCACAAGAUUUUUAGGAAAUUUAUUGAUAAACAGUUCCAAAGUUUUUGACCAAACAAACAGUUCCAAAGUUACGAACAGAAUCCAUUGCAAAGAUUGGAGCUUUUGAGAAUCAGUAUUGAAUCUUAUCAGAACUGAGAAAAUUGAUGUAAUUUACCAAACACAUAUAAACACAGCAGGAUUCCUAGGUUCUCUCAAAAACGAUUUCGUCGCUAGAAAAUUGUAUGCAAAAGGUGAACGUACAGAGAUUCACAAACAAGCAAGAAACGUUAAAAAAAUCUCGAAGAACAGCAGAGAGAACGGAAAGCAAAUCAGGUUACUCAAUACUAAAACCUCAAAUCAGUAAAAUCGGAAGUGGUCGGAAUCUUCUGUGGCUCUGAAUCUGAUAAGCAAAGCACGAGAAUCAGAAUCAGAAGCUGAAAAUGAAUGAUGCCCAAGAGGAUGCUUGUGAUGGGCAACACCCAAUUGACAAAAUCUUAAACUUUGUUUCCGGUGUCAAGCCAAGCAAAGACUCAAACUUUGCUCCAAUUUAAAGCACUGCUCCAAAUUGUAAUUCCUGGGAACGACACGACUCAGAUGAGAUUUAUAUUAAAUCUCCAUUAAGAAGACCUUUUAUUAAGUAUAGG